GACGAACGCUGACGGCGUGCUUAACACAUGCAAGUCGAAGGGAGUGGCGAACGGGGGAGUAACACGUGAGUAACCUGCCCUUUUCUUUGGGAAAAGCAUGGGAAACCGGGUGUAAAACGGGAAGGAGGGGGUUGGUCUCGCGGCUUAGCGGCUUGGUGGUGGGGUGAUGGCUUACCAAGGCUUUGACGGGUAGCCGGCCUGAGAGGGUGGUCGGUCACACUGGGACUGUGAUACGGCCCAGACUACUACGGGAGGCAGCAGUGGGGGAUAUCGCACAAUGGACGAAAGUCUGAUGCAGCGACGUCGUGUGGGGGAUGAAGGCCUUCGGGUUGUAAACUCCUUUCGCCCGCGGAAUGGUAGUGGGUAAAGAAGCGCCGGCUAACUACGUGCCAGCAGCCGCGGUAAUAC
rnacentral:rRNA from 1 species